rnacentral:rRNA from 1 species
UUAUAUGGAGAGUUUGAUCCUGGCUCAGGACGAACGCUGGCGGCGUGCCUAAUACAUGCAAGUCGAGCGGACGGAUGGGAGCUUGCUCCCUGAAGUCAGCGGCGGACGGGUGAGUAACACGUGGGCAACCUGCCUGUAAGACUGGGAUAACUUCGGGAAACCGGAGCUAAUACCGGAUAAUGCAUUUCCCCUCAUGGGGAUAUGCUGAAAGAUGGUUUCGGCUAUCACUUACAGAUGGGCCCGCGGCGCAUUAGCUAGUUGGUGAGGUAACGGCUCACCAAGGCAACGAUGCGUAGCCGACCUGAGAGGGUGAUCGGCCACACUGGGACUGAGACACGGCCCAGACUCCUACGGGAGGCAGCAGUAGGGAAUCUUCCGCAAUGGACGAAAGUCUGACGGAGCAACGCCGCGUGAGUGAUGAAGGUUUUCGGAUCGUAAAACUCUGUUGUCAGGGAAGAACAAGUGCCGGAGUAACUGCCGGCACCUUGACGGUACCUGACCAGAAAGCCACGGCUAACUACGUGCCAGCAGCCGCGGUAAUACGUAGGUGGCAAGCGUUGUCCGGAAUUAUUGGGCGUAAAGCGCGCGCAGGCGGUCUCUUAAGUCUGAUGUGAAAGCCCACGGCUCAACCGUGGAGGGUCAUUGGAAACUGGGGGACUUGAGUGCAGAAGAGGAAAGUGGAAUUCCACGUGUAGCGGUGAAAUGCGUAGAGAUGUGGAGGAACACCAGUGGCGAAGGCGACUUUCUGGUCUGUAACUGACGCUGAGGCGCGAAAGCGUGGGGAGCAAACAGGAUUAGAUACCCUGGUAGUCCACGCCGUAAACGAUGAGUGCUAAGUGUUAGAGGGUUUCCG